rnacentral:ncRNA from 1 species
GCGUCAAGGUGCCUGCCUUAAACCGGCGGGCGAAGAGGGAAUCCGGUGUGAAUCCGGAGCGAUACAGUCACUGUGUAUGGGAGCCGUCCUGCAUAACCACUGGGAAACCGGGAAGGGCAGAACGGCGAUGAUCAAAGUCAGGAGACCUGCCUUGGCGU